rnacentral:lncRNA from 10 species
GAAAAUCAAUUGCAUUCCUAUACAAAUGGUCCCCAACUUACAAUGGUUCAACUUACAAUGGGGCAAAAGUGAUUGGCAACCAUGAAGUUUCAGAUUUUAACCACUGGUGAUUCUUUGUCCAGAGACUCUCUGGGCUGCAUUUCAGGCUUACAACAUUUUCAACAUGGGUCUAUUGGUACAUAACUCCACCGUAAGUCAAGGAGCAUCUACAUACAGCAAUGAACAAGUGGAAUUUGAAAUUUAAAACACAAUAACAUUGACAUCAGCAACCCCUCCCCAGGAAGUACUUAGAUGUAAAUCUAACAAAGUAAGUACAAGAUCUAUAUGAAGAAAAUUACAAAACUCUGAUGGAAAAAAUCAAAGAAGAACUAAAUAAAUUGAAAGAUCUUCUAUAGGAUAGGAAGACUCAAUAUUGUCAAGAUGUCAGUUUUUCCCAACUUGAUCAAUAGUCAAUGAAAUUUCAAUCAAAAUCCCAGCAAGUUAUUUUGUGAAUAUCAACAAACAAAUUCUAAAAUUUAUGCAGGGGACAAUAGGCAGAAUAGCCAACACAAUAUUGAAAGAGAACAAAGUUGGAGGACUAAGAUUAUACAACUUCAAGACUUAUUUUUAAGCUACAAUAAUAAUAUCACGAUUAAAACAGUGUGAUAAUGUCAAAAGAAUAAACAAAUAGACCAAUGGAACAGAAUAGACAGCCCAGAAAUAAUCCCACAUAAAUAAAAUAGUCUAUUGGUAUCCACAGGGGAUUGGUUCCUGGACCUCCUGCAGAUAUCAAAACCCACGGAUGCUCAAGUCUCUGAUUUAAAAUGGCAUAGUAUUUGCAUAUUACUUAUGCACAUCCUCCUGGGUACUUAAAAUCAUCUCUAGAUUACUUAUAAUACUCAAUACAACAUAAAUGCUAUGUAUUAGGUUGGUGCAAAAGUAAUUGCAGUUUUUGCCAUUACUUUCAAAGGUAAAAACCACAAUUACUUUUGCACCAACCUAAUAAAUAAGUUGUUACACUGCAUUGUUUAGGGAACAUGUUCAGUAUAUUUCUAAUAUUUUUGAUCGAUGUUUAGUUGAAUCCAUGGAUGUGGAACCCACGAAUAUGAAGGGCUGAAUGUACAGUCAACUGAUCUUUGACAAAGGAGCAAAGGCACCACAAGGGAGGAAAAGAUAGUCUUUUCAACAAAUGGUGCUGGGACAACUGGACAUCCACAUUGAAAAAAAAAAAAGGAAUCUGGACACAGACUACACCCUACACAAAAAUUAACUCAAAUCGGAUCAUUGACCUAAAUGUAAAAUGCAAAACUAUAAAACUACUGGAAGAUAACAUAGGAGAAAAUCUAGAUGACCUUGGGUUUGGUGAUGAUAUAACUUGGUGAUGAUAUAACACCAAAGUCACAAUGCAUGAAAAAAAUUGAUAAGCUGAAUUUCAUUAAAAGAAAAAACUUCUGCUUUGUAAAAGACAAUAUCAACAGAGUAAAAAGACAAGCCAUAGAAAAUGGGAGAAAAUAUUUGCAAUAAACUCAUUUGAUAAAGGACUAUUAUCCAAAAUACACAAAGAACUCUUUCAACUCACCUGGGGAUGGUAGCAUGAGGCUAUAAUUCCAGGUAUUUGGGAGGCUGAGGCAGAAAAGUCUGUUAAGCCCAGGAGUUUGAGACUAGCUUGGGCAACAUGGAGAGAUACUAUCUCAAAAAAAAAAAAAAAUUGAGCUUUUGAAGCUCAGCAAUAGGAAAACAAACAACUCCAUUAAGAAAUAGUUCAAAGACUUUGACACCUCAUUAAAGAAGAUAUAUAGAUGGCAAAUGAGCAUGUGAAAAGAUGCUCCACGUUAUAAGUCAUCAGGGAAAUGCAAGUUAAAACAAUAAUGAGAUACCACUGCACACCUACUAGAAUGACCAAAAUCUGGAACAACUGAUAACAGGCAACACUGGUGAGAAUGUGGACCAACAAGAACUCUCAUGGGAAGCCAAGAUGGAAGCCACUUUGGAAGACAGUUUGUCAGUUUCUUACAAAAC